GUCUGGGUGGCUCAGUCGGUUGGGCGUCUGACUUCGGCUCAGGUCAUGAUCUCGGGCUCCGUGGGUUCGAGCCCCGCGUCGGGCU
rnacentral:tRNA from 1 species